CUGUGCUAGGUGGGGAGCCAGCGGUGCCCUGUAACCCGCAAACCGCUACAGCGGGGCCGAAUCCCCACCGGAGGUUCUUUGGGAGCGGUCGUUGCUGUUCCGGUAAGCGGCGAUGAAGGCUGGGUCCCACGCAACGAAAGCUUGUGAACCCCGUCAGGUCCGGGAGGAAGCAGCGGUAAGCAAAAACUUCCGUGUGCCGUGGAGCAACCUGGUUGGAGCUGGCUGCCGGAGCGCGGCUCGGUUCCCGGAAUCGAUGGUGGGUGCACAG
rnacentral:SRP_RNA from 1 species